CCAGCUAAUGAGUAAAAAGAUAAACGAUUAGCAAAAAUCUUCAAUCCAAAGUUCCUUAUUAGUACGAUACGCGGAAACUAAAAAUACCACCCCAAAAAUUGGAGUCUUAAGUACAAGAGCUUCUAAAAUACGAUACAAGUCUAGAACUAAAAUGACAAAUCUAACAUAAGAUAUCCUGUUUGAAUACUAAAAUAACAAAAUAAGUAAAAGAUAGAGGGAGGUAUAUGCCACAAAACAGCCAAACAGCUCACAACUUCAACACACUCCAAGCUUGGACUCAAUUUGCUCCACGAGAUGUGCUAGUGCUCGAAAUCAAAUCUACACCACAAAGAGUGCAACAAGUGCAUUAUGAGUAAGAAAUCACGUGUACCCAAUAUAUCUCAUUGACCGACAACGAAAAAGUAGUGACGCGAGUUUAUAUAAGAAAAUCAAUUCUUUAAUUAUACAAGUCUAUAUUACACUUAAUAGUCAAGUUUCAACAAAUAGAGGCAAUCAAACAUUAAGUGUUUUCCAACCACCAAUAAAAACACAUAAUCAUCAAGGAUGAAGGAUGUCAUGAAAUGCAAUGCAAUAUGAUAUCAUGAAAUGAUAUGUCUCAGAAUACCCAGUACUCUCUCAACCGCAUAUACAUGAUACUCCUCGGAAACACAUCGAGAGUUCAUGACCAAUGGGGGACUCGCGAGGUCCGUAUACCGACACGAACGAUCUCCACGUGCUCAAACUAUAAUGUUUACAUCUCACUAUCCCCAGCACAAACGAUCUCCACAUAUCCAACUUAUACUCAAUCUCAUGUCAAUACAUGUACACAAUAUUAUUUCAAAUAAGGGGAUGAUGAUGCACCUCAAUCAGUCAAUUAUCAACAUAAUACAUAACCACCUCAAUUAUCACAAUUAUACGGGUAUAAUAAAGAAAACACAAUCAAACAAGGAAUUCAAGUCAAUAAUAUAUCAGUUGAUGCCCAUAUGUUUUUACAUUCUCAAAUUACAAUCCACAUUCAAUAGUAAUAACUUUCCAUUUAUAACACCGGCAUUCGUACCAAUCUCCGUCACACCAUUGAUACGAGACCCCAAUCUUUCGUCCUUCCCCUUUGUCUAUUUCAUUUUUAAUCUUUAAUUAGGAAAAUGUCUUUCAACAAGUUUGAAAGUCUUAACAUACCUUAGAUGCCGAACUCGUGCCACGAAACUCAAGAUAGUUUCUUUCCUUAUCGCAAAGUUUCGAAACUUUAACAAUCUACCAAUUAUGCAAUAUUCGUAAGUAAGCGAGUUCAUAAGUACUCAAAUUAUUAUAUGUUUAAUCUAGACUCCAAAACUCACUCAUAUCUCCAAUCCAGCUCCUACUCUUGACAUAAUUUAUAUGUCAGGAAUUUUAUUUGCUAAAUUUCAAGUUUAUCGUUAAGCCUCAAUUUUGUCAAAUAUCUCAAACUCAACACUACUCAUAUAAUAUACACCUAGUAAUUAGUUACCUAUAUGAAUACAUCAAAAACUAAAUUUUAUAAUGUGAUAAUAAUAAGAAAAUAAGCCAAAGUUUGAAAUCAUUUAAGAAGAAUUAACUUGCAGCACCUCAAAUUUCCUAUACACCUGUAUCUCUACACACAAUUUACUCAAUCCAAAAAGAAAGAGAAGUAUCACUGACAACCAUUUGGAAAUCAAUUAAAACUAAUUUAAGCUAAUUAAAACCUUGCCAAAAAUAACAAACAAAAAUUCAAAAUUUACAAUCACGUACUAGUAAGGAUCCAUUAUAUGGAACCAUUAAUUAAUCGUCUCUUUUCACCUAUUCUAACCACUGCAUUGUUGAAACUCAACAAAAUAAUUUAGAAAAAUUUCUCUAUGUAAAAGAAGAAUUGGAAAGUCACAGAAUUUAUCCACUAACCUUGCAGGUAUACAAAGCAAAAAUUGAAAAUUUGACAUAUUAUUAUGAAACAAAAAUUAAUAAAAGCUAAGAUUUCUUAGCCCAAUGACUAAUUAACACCUAUCCCCUACCACUUUUGCACCUAUUAUCCCACUAAAUUUUAAAAGUCAAAAUAAUAUUUUAUUAUAAACAUUCAAUUACAAAAUUUGAUUAAAAGCUCACCUGCAAUACACAACUCGUGAAUAACUAUUUUGCCCAAGCCGCUGGUGCUUGUUAAUCUGUUUUUUUUUCCCUCUUGUUAUGAUGCAAUACCCGUUUGUUU
rnacentral:lncRNA from 1 species